rnacentral:rRNA from 1 species
CGGCAACAGCUCAAAUUUGAAAUCUGACGCUUGCGUCCGAGUUGUAAUUUGUAGAGGGUGCCUCGGGUUGAAGGUCGGUCCAAGUUCCUUGGAACAGGAUACCGAAGAGGGUGAGAGUCCCGUCUCCGGCCGACGCUGACGCCCGUGUGAGGCCCCUUCGAC